GCCGGAUUAGCUCAGUUGGUAGAGCAACUGAUUUGUAAUCAGUGGGUCGGGAGUUCGAGUCUCUCAUCCGGCA